UGAUACCUUUUUGUCUUUGGGACAAAUUGCGAAUCCUUCUCUCUUCCUCUACUGCCUACCGCAAUUUCGUAAUUUGGGCAGGUUUAUUGUUCAUCUGGAAAAAAUCAAAGCCGUUUUGCCUCAUGGGUUUCUGGUGUUUCUGCUCCUCUCACUAUGAUUGUUAAACCAGCAUAAUGGCCAGAAAGAAUCAUUCAGAAAGGAAAAGGAAUACAAAGGCAAACAAGGAAACAUGUUUAUGAAACAUGGAUAUACAGAAUGCCCUUGCCAUAGAACUUCUGAGAAGUUUAGAUAGGCAAGGUUCGAAUCACCCCUCUGCAGUUGCAUUUGUCUUCCAUCUAAUACAUUUCCCAGAUACAGAAUUCAGAUAUCUCAGGCAACAGAGAAGAGACACAUUGAUCGAAAUCCAGUGACAGAAAAACCUGAUUACAUAUCUCUGUCUUCUCUCCAGCAAAUUAGCAUCAACACGCAGCGUUGGAUAAUGUAAAGCCUUGCUCUCUUCUCCUUAAGAAUCUUCCCUCCUGGAAGCUGAACCUUGCUUUUCUGCCGCAGUGGUAAAGGUAGGCAUCCCAUUCCUACGAGUUUCCGCUUCUCACCUCCUCUCAUUAUCUUCAGGCUUCAGAGAUAAGAUGGUAGAAACAAAAGGAAAUAAUAAUAAUAAUGAUAAAGGAUAUUUUGAGCUACUUCUGAUCUCUGUGCAUUUUAACUUGCUCUCACUUUGUUAAUCAGAAUAAGACCAGGUUCUCUUUUUAUGUGGAAAAGAAUAUGACUGAGAGGGUUACAAAGGUUUGUUACAAAAUUUUUGUCUUGCAGUGCAGUGAGUUACUGAUAUAUCUGUUGCAAGUUAAGUGGCUCCUAGGGAGGUUCGCAAGAGGGCCCAAAAAAAAAAAAACAGUUUUAUGCAUUCAAAAUGCUUCCUUUUACUGCACUGUCUGGCAGUUUGGUGGAUGAGUUUCUGUUUAGCUGUCUGCUCAAGGAAUUGAGCCAAGUGUUUUUGUUUUUUACACACCCGGGCUACUUGAUGUAUCUUUGUUCUCUCUGUAGGAAACCAAGUCUCAAUUUUUAUUCUUUUUUUCAAGUUUUUCUUAAAA